CUUAGGUCGCUGGUUCGAUUCCGGCU
rnacentral:piRNA from 4 species